UACGUAGGGGGCAAGCGUUGUCCGGAAUCAUUGGGCGUAAAGAGCGUGUAGGCGGCCAGAAAAGUCCGCUGUGAAAACUCGAGGCUCAACUUCGAGCUGUCGGUGGAAACUUUCUGGCUAGAGUCCGGAAGAGGAGAAUGGAAUUCCGUGGUGUAGCGGUGAAAUGCGCAGAUAUCAGGAAGAACACCCGUGGCGAAGGCGGUUCUCUGGGACGGUACUGACGCUGGAGACGCGAAAGCCGUUGGGG
rnacentral:rRNA from 1 species